rnacentral:rRNA from 1 species
AUUGAACGCUGGCGGCAGGCCUAACACAUGCAAGUCGAGCGGUAGAGAGAAGCUUGCUUCUCUUGAGAGCGGCGGACGGGUGAGUAAUGCCUAGGAAUCUGCCUGGUAGUGGGGGAGAACGUUCGGAAACGGAGGCUAAUACCGCAUACGUCAUACGGGAGAAAGCAGGGGACCUUCGGGCCUUGCGCUAUCAGAUGAGCCUAGGUCGGAUUAGCUAGUUGGUGAGGUAAUGGCUCACCAAGGCGACGAUCCGUAACUGGUCUGAGAGGAUGAUCAGUCACACUGGAACUGAGACACGGUCCAGACUCCUACGGGAGGCAGCAGUGGGGAAUAUUGGACAAUGGGCGAAAGCCUGAUCCAGCCAUGCCGCGUGUGUGAAGAAGGUCUUCGGAUUGUAAAGCACUUUAAGUUGGGAGGAAGGGUUGUAGAUUAAUACUCUGCAAUUUUGACGUUACCGACAGAAUAAGCACCGGCUAACUCUGUGCCAGCCGCCGCCGUAA